rnacentral:rRNA from 1 species
UACGUAGGGGGCAAGCGUUUGUCCGGAUUUACUGGGCGUAAAGCGCGCGUAGGCGGAACGUUAAGUCCGGGUCUGAAAGCCCCCGGCUCAACCGGGGGAGGGUGGCUGGAAACUGGCGUUCUUGAGGGCGAGAGAGGAGGGUGGAAUUCCUGGUGUAGCGGUGAAAUGCGUAGAGAUCAGGAGGAACACCCGUGGCGAAGGCGGCC